CAUUCUCCCACCUUAGGCUCCCAUGUAGCUGGCACUACAGAAAUGAGACCCUUGUCAUUCUUAGAGUCCUUUGUUGAAUGGAAGAAGAAAUGGAAUAAUGCCGUAUCCACCUGAUGGGGACAUCACCUCCUACCUGGAUGGUCAGAGGACUCCUAUCCAUCCCACUGUUCCUUCUGGUUUGGGGCCCAGAGUCUUCCACCAAAGCCUGAACAUGCUUCUACUCCCAGGGCCUCCACAUUCCACGGAUGGCUGAUGGAGAAGAAUCCCAGGUCAUCUGUGGACACCUCUCCUUCUGUAUCCCCAGAACAUGAUGUGCACAGGUGCAUAAAGGAAAUUUAAAUUUUAUGCCCAGGGGCUCCCACUCUCACCCUCCUGAGCAGAAGCUGGGGAUCCUCUGAGCUGCUGUCCCUGAUGUUAGAGAGCCCUUAUCCCUGAGACCAAUGCCAGUCAUCAAAUACAUCUCAUAGGAUGUCUGCACAAAAUCAGCUGCCCCAAGCCCCUUGCCUCCCUCCUCCUGGCUUCUCUGAUGCAUCCCCCACAGGAGAUCCAGGAGGACAAGACCAGCCAGAGAUCAACCAUCCAGGCCCCAAGGCUUUGGGGACAUCAUCUCAGAGGAAGUGUCAAUCCUAGCCUACUCCUGUCCCAUCAAGCUGUCUGUCAGGAGUUAUUGACUUAUGUCUUAGGACAGGACCUUGAACCAGUCUGCCUCAGUGUCUAGUGUGCUGGGCUGAACCAGACCCAACCUCCUCAAUGCCUCUGCCCAGAACUAGGACUUGCUUUCCUGUUGGACCUGGUCCUGAAGCUCACUGCUUUGGUGGGACCCUGAUCCACCUUCCUGUUCCUCCUCUCAUUUCAUUAUCAUCAUAUCUGCAGCAGGUACUCUGCAAAAAGAUAGUUCUCCAUUUUUCAGAUGAACAAACUGAAGUUGAGAGCAGGGAAGUAGCUUGUCUAAGGACAGCAGACGUUUCCCUUCUGUUCAGAGGCUGUGCUCUUCUGGGAUUCCAGCCAUCAGUUCAGCUGUAACUUGCUUUUCUGUCUUUAAUAAACCUUUUGUUUUGGAAUAAUUCUAGAUUUACAAAGAAAGUUACAAGGACAGCAAAGAAAGUUCCCUUAUACCCCUCACUCAAUGUCUCCACUGUUGACAUUUUCUGUUACCAUGGUACCUUGGUCAAAACUGAGAAUCUGACAUUGUAUACUUGAUUUUUGAAUCAAGAAAUUUUUUUUCCCUCAGGAAUGAGCUCCAAAUUUCUCUCUUCUGCAUCCAAAAGUCCAGUGAGGAGUGUGGAUGCGUGUAAUGUGGCCCCUUCAUCACAUCCACCCCGUGCGUUCCUACCUUAUCCAGUGUCCCCAACCCCAAAAAACAGAAGGACCAUCCAAGGAGGACCAGCUUCAGGCCCAGAGACUCAGAUUCCUAGUCAGCAUCCUUCAGGUACCUCACUCAUCAAGCUCCUCUUUCCAUAAGGCUUCAAAGAUACGACUUGCCCACAAACACACUCCUACCCACUAACCUCUAAACUAACUCCAUCUUUAAUUCUUGUGGACACCCACCCAAUAUCAACUCCAUCCUCAAAGCUGUCAAUAAGAUCCAAUGAAGCAAAUAUUUAUUGAUAACACAGAAAUAAAUCCAAUCCUGUCC
rnacentral:lncRNA from 1 species